AAAAUUCAAAUAUGGAAUGGAAACACGAAAACGAGUCAAAUGUAAUAAUUUUGGACACAAAGUGUAAAAGAAUCAAUGAAAAUAACUUUUCACAAUGGAAGCGAAAUAAAUUACAUUAUUGGAAUCAAAAAGCAACAAUUCGAUUAACAAAGUAAAGUGAAAUAAUGUUGAGAAAGUGUUGCAGAGCUUAUUAAUGGAAAGUGAAACGAAAUAUCAGCGACAAAGAGUUUUAUCGAGAAGUUGGAAUUCCCCGAAUAUUUGAAAACUUUAAUUUAUUUGCCUCGCCUGCUUGGAACAUGUGUAUUUUGUUGUCUCUUGCCAACAUAGAAAGCAGAAAGCUUUUGAUAUAACGCUUAUGUAUGCAAUGCGACCCAUGACCACGCCCCUCGACAUACGCGGCUUUUUCUUUUCGCGCUUUCUGACCUGCGAAGGACACAAGGACUUCAAUAAGACGGCAUUCGAUUCAUCCCAGCAGCUUCCAAUGAAAUAACAACAAAUAAUAGCCUGCUUUCCUUUUUGUAAAUUAUUAAUUGUAAUACUUUUGAAAAUAAAAAUAAUCCAGUUGAAGAAUACUUUGUGAUACU